rnacentral:misc_RNA from 1 species
GAUGAAGAACGCAGCGAAAUGCGAUAAGUAAUGUGAAUUGCAGAAUUCAGUGAAUCAUCGAAUCUUUGAACGCACCUUGCGCUCCUUGGUAUUCCGAGGAGCAUGCCUGUUUGAGUGUCAUUAAAUUCUCAAUCAUUAUCAACUUUUGCUGAUAAUGGCUUGGAUGUGGGGGUCUAUUUUGCUGGCUUCUCAGAUAGUCAGCUCCCCUUAAAUGCAUUAGCCGGUGCCCCGCGUGGACUGUCUAUUGGUGUGAUAAUUAUCUACGCUAUAGACAUCUGCAAUCAUAUGGGUUUGCGCUGCUUCUAACAGUCUGUUGAUUCAGACAAUACAUGACAAUUUGACCUCAAAUCAGGUAGGACUACCCGCUGAACUUAAGCAUAUCAAUAAGCGAGGA